GCCGGGCGCGGUGGCGCGUGCCUGUAGUCCCAGCUACUCGGGAGGCUGAGGCUGGAGGAUCCCUUGAGUUCAGGAGUUCUGGGCUGUAGUGCGCUAUGCCGAUCGGGUGUCCGCACUAAGUUCGGCAUCAAUAUGGUGACCUCCCGGGAGCGGGGGACCACCAGGUUGCCUAAGGAGGGGUGAACCGGCCCAGGUCGGAAACGGAGCAGGUCAAAACUCCCGUGCUGAUCAGUAGUGGGAUCGCGCCUGUGAAUAGCCACUGCACUCCAGCCUGGGCAACAUAGUGAGACCCUGCCUCUU
rnacentral:SRP_RNA from 1 species